GUUCCCCCCAGCUCUCACUGGCUCCUUCCAGGACAUCUGCAUGGCCUGCUCUUAUUUCUCCUUUAAUUCCUUGGCAAAAGUCACCUUACCAAUGAAGACUUCCCAGGCCAUCCUAUUUGAAAAUUGCAACUCUUACCUCAUCUGAAUUUAAGCUCCAUAAAGCUGGGAUUUUUGUCCUUUAUUUUUUCCUACUUCACUGGCAACUCUUGGUAGAACAGUACCUGAUGCACAGUUCUAUCUCUAGAGACACAAUGAUGGGGUAGUCUGAGCUGGUCCAGAUGCCCUGAGACAAGGAGGGUAACAAGUCACAUGUUCUUAGAUGGAAUUGGCAAAAUGUCACCAAGACUCACCCAAAGUCUCUUUCUAAGGUAUGUAUGAACAUCUUUCCAACACAACCUUUCUGUAGUAGCACAUACAACUCAGCAGCUUCACAUGGUACCUGGCUGUCAAAUGAAGUAAACUCCUUGCAAAAACAUGUGAGUUGUCCUUGACCUCUACUGGGUCGUCUUCCAGGUGAUGCCUCAAUGUUAAUUCAGUGUAAAAAUUAAUUCCAUGUAUAAAUGUUUCAAAGCUCUGGCUCAGUAGUCCAUGGUUGGUACUGAGUUCACAAAAUUCUCACCAGGAGUAGUGAACGUUGCUUUAGAAUCUCAGUGGGCCAGUCAUCACCACGAGGGCGCUGCUCAACAAUAUCAAGAGACUGAAUACAAGUGGCGACAGUGAGGGCCAAAGACUACAUUUCUCCCCUGCAUCUGUGCAAGCACAUGCCAGCCUGCCAUGUAGUUGCCUCCCUCAAAAUCCAUCCAGAAUUCCUCUUUAGGAACUGACUUUUGAACUAUACCCAGGAAAUUCAAUCUUGGGCCAGGGGAUAGUCUCCUUUGGUCUGUUUUUAUACUUUUUCUCUUUUUCUUCUUCCCUUCCUUUGACAUGCCUUUUGUCUUUCCUUUUCUUCCUUUUUCCUCUCUAACCUUCCUUCCUCCCUCCCUCUUUCAAUAUGCUUUACCUAACCUAAGUGCCAAGCACUGAGUAUAAAAGAUAAAUAAGAAGCUAUAAUAUUAUUAGAACAUGUGACCACUUGGGAGGCUGAGAUAGGAAGAAUGCUUGAGGGCCAGGAGUUAGAGGCUGCAGUGAGCCGUGAUUGU